rnacentral:rRNA from 1 species
CGAGACGACGCCGGCGGCGUAGCCUAAUACAUGCAAGUCGAACGGUCUUUCUAUGGAAGCUUGCUUCCACUGAGAAGAUAGUGGCGAACGGGUGAGUAACACGUGGGUAACCUGCCCAUAAGAGGGGGAUAACAUCCGGAAACGGGUGCUAAUACCGCAUAGUUUUCUUGAUCGCAUGAUCGGGAAAGGAAAGACGGCCUUUGUGCUGUCGCUUAUGGAUGGACCCGCGGCGUAUUAGUUAGUUGGUGAGGUAACGGCUCACCAAGACGAUGAUACGUAGCCGACCUGAGAGGGUGAUCGGCCACAUUGGGACUGAGACACGGCCCAAACUCCUACGGGAGGCAGCAGUAGGGAAUCUUCCGCAAUGGACGAAAGUCUGACGGAGCAACGCCGCGUGAGUGAAAGAAGGUUUUCGGAUCGUAAAACUCUGUUGUCAGAGAAGAACAAGUUGGAGAGUAACUGCUCCAGCCUUGACGGUAUCUGACCAGAAAGCCACGGCUAACUACGUGCCAGCCGCCGC